rnacentral:rRNA from 1 species
CCUACGGGAGGCAGCAGUGAGGAAUAUUGGUCAAUGGACGCAAGUCUGAACCAGCCAUGCCGCGUGCAGGAUGACGGCUCUAUGAGUUGUAAACUGCUUUUAUACGGGGGUAAACUGAGAUACGCGUAUCUGUCUGAAAGUAUCGUACGAAUAAGCAUCGGCUAACUCCGUGCCAGCAGCCGCGGUAAUACGGAGGAUGCAAGCGUUAUCCGGAUUUAUUGGGUUUAAAGGGUGCGUAGGCGGUCGGUUAAGUUAGAGGUGAAAUCCAGAGGCUCAACCUCGGAAUUGCCGCUGAUACUGUUCGACUAGAGAGUAGUUGAGGUAGGCGGAAUGUAUGGUGUAGCGGUGAAAUGCUUAGAGAUCAUACAGAACACCGAUUGCGAAGGCAGCUUACCAAGCUACUACUGACGUUGAGGCACGAAAGCGUGGGGAGCAAACAGGAUUAGAUACCCGAGUAGUC